GCCAGUGAUGAAUCGCCCAAUGUUAGGAGGCUGCAACCGGCUCCAGGUUCCUGUUAAUCAGGAAGAACCUACUUGGAGCUGCUGCACUCACAUGACGUCACCGGGCAAUCCUGAGGU